rfam:Homo sapiens chromosome 5, GRCh38 reference primary assembly.
GCCAGGCGUGGUGGCACAUGCCUGUAAUCCCAGCUACUCGGGAGGCUGAGGCAGGAGAAUCGCUUGAACCCAGGAGUUGGAGGUUGCAGUGAGCUGAGAUCUCACCACUGCACUCCAGCCUGGGUGACAGAGUGAGACUCUGUCUCAA